GAUGAAGAACGUAGUGAAAUGCGAUAAGUAAUGUGAAUUGCAGAAUUCAGUGAAUCAUCGAAUCUUUGAACGCACCUUGCGCUCCUUGGUAUUCCGAGGAGCAUGCCUGUUUGAGUGUCAUUAAUAUAUCAACCUUUUUGGGUUGGAUGUGGGUUUGCUGGCCUUUUGAGGUCAGCUCCCCUUAAAUGCAUUAGCAGACAACAUUUUGCCAACUGUUCAUUGGUGUGAUAAUUAUCUACGCUAUUGACGUGAAGCAAAGGUUCAGCUUCUAAUGGUCCAUUGACUUGGACAACUCUUAUUUAUUAAUUUGACCUCAAAUCAGGUAGGACUACCCGCUGAACUUAAGCAUAUCAAUAAGCGGAGGA
rnacentral:misc_RNA from 1 species